AUUGAACGCUGGCGGAAUGCUUUACACAUGCAAGUCGAACGGCAGCACGGACUUCGGUCUGGUGGCGAGUGGCGAACGGGUGAGUAAUGUAUCGGAACGUGCCCAGUCGUGGGGGAUAACGUAGUGAAAAUUACGCUAAUACCGCAUACGGUCUAUGGAUGAAAGCGGGGGAUCGCAAGACCUCGCGCGAUUGGAGCGGCCGAUAUCAGAUUAGGUAGUUGGUGGGGUAAAGGCCCACCAAGCCAACGAUCUGGAGCUGGUCUGAGAGGACGACCAGCCACACUGGAACUGAGACACGGUCCAGACUCCUACGGGAGGCAGCAGUGGGGAAUUUUGGACAAUGGGCGAAAGCCUGAUCCAGCCAUUCCGCGUGCAGGAUGAAGGCCCUCGGGUUGUAAACUGCUUUUGUACAGAACGAAAAGGUUUCUACUAAUACUAGGAGCUCAUGACGGUACUGUAAGAAUAAGCACCGGCUAACUACGUGCCAGCCGCCGCUGUAA
rnacentral:rRNA from 1 species